GGAAGCCCUUCCCACCUGGCUGUGUCACUGGUCUGGGAACACAUUUUGAGAAUCACUGGUAGGUACAUCGGUCAUUGGGUGCAUUUUUUGUUUGUUUCUUGGAGCUGAGUGUAUCCUGAUGGCGGCAGUAGUGGGCUGGUAAAUGUUUAACAAUUGGCUCUCUAAUUAAAAAAAAAAAGCCGUGAUUUGUGUUUGCAGGUUACACGGUGUAAAUACUUACCCACCCCUUGGCCAGUUGCAAGCUACCAACAUGGUGCCACUGAAAGUGGAGUUGAGAUGAGUGUAGGUGGCUCUCCUGAGCCUGUGUGAGCUGACACUGGGACAACACUGAGGCUGGCCAAAGACAGCUGAGAAGUCCAAGUAAGGAAUUGUUAAAAAGCUUUCAGCAGAGUGGCUUUAUUAGAUUUGGGUUUUAGGUGGAUCUGUGUUUCCUGGCUCACUUUAACAGAGUCUAAUAGAGUUGGAGAUCCCCAUAGAAGACUGUAGCAAUAUUUCCAGCUAUGAGGCUGAGGAGUGUUGCCAGAGGAGAGAAACAAAUGUGAAAACUAGUAUAUUAGUCUGCUUGGGCUGGCCUAACAAAAUACCACAGAUCAGGGAAACUUAAAGGACAGAAACCUAUUUUCUCACAGUU
rnacentral:lncRNA from 1 species